rnacentral:rRNA from 1 species
CUUUACCCUGACACUGCUCUUAACACAUCUGAUCUUGUCUGAUUUCAGAAGCUAAACAGUGUGAGGCCUGGUUAGUAUUUGAAUGGGAAAACAUCCUGGAAUACCAAACGUCUUCAAAU